CGGGGUGAGUAACGCGUGGAUAACCUGCCUCACACUGGGGGAUAACAGUUAGAAAUGGCUGCUAAUACCGCAUAAGCGCACAGUACCGCAUGGUACGGUGUGAAAAGCCCAGGUGGUGUGAGAUGGAUCCGCGUCUGAUUAGCCAGUUGGCGGGGUAACGGCCCACCAAAGCGACGAUCAGUAGCCGACCUGAGAGGGUGACCGGCCACAUUGGGACUGAGACACGGCCCAA
rnacentral:rRNA from 1 species